rnacentral:rRNA from 1 species
AUGUUGGACCGCCGACCGGCGAGCGCGCCACAAUCUACCUCACGACCCCCUUUGCAAGUUGUGCAUCAGGACAACGAGACACUGCACCACCUUCUCGUAGGUUGCGUCUUCUCAUGCAUCAUAUGGCACGACAUCAUGGCACGGUGCCGCAUACCUGCCCUUCCUCCUGAUGGCACUACCGGUUUCUUCGACUGGUGGAUGGCGACGCCAGCCAGCGUGCCAGUCUGUCUCCGCAAAGGGACGAACUCCAUCAUCAUCCUCACCUCUUGGGCGCUUUGGAAGCAUCGCGACGCAGCUCUCUUCGACAAUGCUGCACCCUCCUAUAACAAGCUAAUCGAGGACAUACAACAGGAGGUGAAACUCUAAGCAAGAGCCGCGCCAAAUGGCUCAAUAGGAUCAUUCAUGUAA